GUCCCAGGGUAAAGAGGGUAGUGGCAAGGGAGGCUGGGGGCCCAGUAAGCAAGGCCUCUGGUGACACCAGGCUUUUGGGCAACGUCCAGCAGCCUGUCAGGUAAAGAAGUUGGCAGCUGGGUGCCUGGCAGGCUGGGGGGUCUGGAGAAUUCAGCAUGCCACCCUGGGAGCUGCCAGCAAGAGGACCAGGUGAGGGGGUGGGGGUGGGAAGGGGGACUGAGGGAGCGGUGACUCUAGGGCACAGAGGCUCCCCACAUGGCAUUGGGCAGGGCUGGGCUGCUCUGCAGGUCUGGCUUUAAGAGGCCCAGCCUUAGUCCUCCUGUGUGCCAGGCAUGUCAGAGCAGGGCCCUGAGGGACAGCAUCCUCAGCCACCCCCAAGUGCCAUGCCAUGCCACACUGGAGCCUGGUGGCCAGCUCCCACCAGCACAGACAGGCUCCAGAGACCUCCCUCCACCAGCUCCGGGGAUUGCCUUCCCAGCUCCCACAUGAGACCCUUGGCCCUUUGGCCUGGGUCUCAGUGGGAACGGGCAUUAGCAGCUGGAGACCAUGCGUGAGACACACAUGUGGGGCCCCUGGCCUACCUGGGAACACUUGUUAUGCCUCAUGCCGGGUGGAGGCUGGGCUGGCGCAGAGCUCUGAUGGAGGCCACUUCCCUUCGGCACCAGAGCAGCACCUUCUGUCCCUCGCCUGCAGGGGCUGCUUUGGCUCUCAAGUCAUGCUGGGCCUCCUGUGGACUGGAUAUCUGUCUGGAAAAUGUCCUGCCUGCACUGAAAAGGCCACGUGCUCUCUGUGGGUACCUUGCUGUGGCUGCUUGACUGUCGUCUCUGGAAGAGGAGUCGGAGAGGCACCCUGGAGCACCAGGUGGCGCCUGGACUCUGGGCUGCAGACAGCAGAGCUGCCUCACAUGUGUGGCAGCCACAGCUCUGUCAAGGUCUGGACUCUGCCUGCUGCUGUUCCCGUUCAGACAGGAACAGAGCUUCAAGAGGCUGAGUGCCUGGGCGGUGGGGGGCAUCGCUGUCACUCCUGUGGCUUUGGUCACCAAGUGAACAAAAACCCCUCUGGGAGCCGGGCACCAUGGCACACGCCUGAGGCAGGAGGACUGCAGGUUGGAGGCCAGCCUUAGCAACUUAGCAAGACCCUAACAACUUAGCAAGACCCUUUCUCACAAAGUAAAAAGGGCUGGGGGUGUGGCUCAGUGGUCGGGAGCACCUGCUUUGAUCCCCAGUGCCCCCCCUACAAGACUGUAGUGCCCAUUGACAGGUGGAUGGGUGUCUUUGCUUUUUUGCUGCUGUGACUAAAGGGACUCGACCAGCACAACUAUAGAGGAGGAGAAGUUGAUUUGGGGACUCACGGUUUCAGAGGCCUCAGACCAGAGACAGCAGGCCCCACUCCUCGGGGCUCAAGAUGAGGCAGGACAUCAUGGCUGAAGAGUGUGGCCCAGGGAAGCAGCUGACACGUGACCAGGAGGCAGAGACUCCUCUCUCCAGAUACCACUUAGUCACCACUCAGUUAACCCCACCAGGGGGUUGACUCUCUGGCUGAGGCUCCCCCAGCCCGGUCGUGUUUCCUCUGACCUUCCUGCAUGGUCUCGCGUGGACCCUUGGGGGACACCUCUCAUAUAAACCCUAAUGAUGGGCAAACAAAUGUUGUCCCUGUGGUGGACACCACUCAGCCUUAAACCAUGGGGUUUGGCACAGUAUGGGGCCUGUGAGGAUGUGGGCUGAGUGGAAUGGCCUAGUCACUCGGAGCCACACCCGUAUGAUGUACUAACAGGUGUCCCCAGAGUGCUCAGUCACAGGGACCAAGGGUGCAGGGGCCACGGGGUGGGUGUUAUCACUUCAUGGGGACAGAGCUUCGGGUUAGGAAGAUGAAAACGUCCUGGAGGCGGAUGGUGGCGGUGCUUGAUGUGCUUAAUGCCACCAAGCUGUUCACUUGAAAAUGGUCCCAGCAGACAGGUGUGGAUGCCUGUCAUCCCAGCAACUAGGAGGCUGAGGCAGGAGGAUCACAAUUCCAGGUCAGCUGGCAACUUAGUGAGGCCCUGCCUCAAAAUAAAAAGUAACUCACUGAUAAAGCUCUUGCCUGCUGUGCUGGAGGCCCUGGGUUCAAAUCCCAGUACUGGGGGGAAAAUGAUCAAUGUUUUUGCAUUUAACAAAAUAAAGACUCCUCAGGAACUGUUAGUAGUGGCUGACUCCAGUUAAAGAGCCUUGCUUUUCUAUAUAUAAAUGUAUGUGUGUGCCUCCCACGUGCUAGGCAAGCACUCUGCCACUGAGCCACGGCCCCACCCCCAAGAGCCUUACU
rnacentral:lncRNA from 1 species